CUUGGUCAUUUAGAGGAAGUAAAAGUCGUAACAAGGUUUCCGUAGGUGAACCUGCGGAAGGAUCAUUAUUGAAAUUAUAGGUGAGGGGUUGUAGCUGGCCUUUCGGGGCAUGUGCACACCCGAGCCCUUAAUCCAUACACACCCGUGAACUUAAUGUAAGGGUCCGUAAAAAGGCCCCUACGUCUUUCAUCAUAAACCCAGUCUAAUAGAAUGUAAUCUAUGUCCUCGCCUUAAAAAGCGUUGAUAAACUUAUACAACUUUCAACAACGGAUCUCUUGGCUCUCGCAUCGAUGAAGGGCGCAGCGAAAUGCGAUAAGUAAUGUGAAUUGCAGAUUUUCAGUGAAUCAUCGAAUCUUUGAACGCACCUUGCGCUCCUUGGUAUUCCGAGGAGCAUGCCUGUUUGAGUGUCAUUAAAUUCUCAACUCCGAACCUUUUGGUUUCGGGGCUUGGACUUGGAGCGUGCUGGCCUUCCGGGGUCGGCUCCUCUUAAAUGCAUCAGCGGAAUCUAACGUUUCGGACGUCAGUGUGAUAAUCAUGUUGCGCCGUCAUCUGACCUCAAAGUCCGCUUACAAUGGUCUUAGGACACAGCUCAUCAAAUUUGACCUCAAAUCAGGUAGGACUACCCGCUGAACUUAAGCAUAUCAAUAAGCGGAGGA
rnacentral:rRNA from 1 species